rnacentral:rRNA from 1 species
UAGGGAAUCUUCCGCAAUGGGCGAAAGCCUGACGGAGCAACGCCGCGUGAGUGAUGAAGGUCUUCGGAUCGUAAAACUCUGUUAUUAGGGAAGAACAAAUGUGUAAGUAACUAUGCACAUCUUGACGGUAUCUAACCAGAAAGCCACGGCUAACUACGUGCCAGCAGCCGCGGUAAUACGUAGGUGGCAAGCGUUGUCCGGAUUUAUUGGGCGUAAAGCGAGCGCAGGCGGUCAAUUAAGUCUGAUGUGAAAGCCCCCGGCUCAACCGGGGAGGGUCAUUGGAAACUGGUUGACUUGAGUGCAGAAGAGGAGAGUGGAAUUCCAUGUGUAGCGGUGAAAUGCGUAGAUAUAUGGAGGAACACCAGUGGCGAAGGCGACUCUCUGGUCUGUAACUGAAGCUGAGGCUCGAAAGCGUGGGUAGCAAACAGG